GUGCACAGUGAACACCCAGGGGUGCUACCAUGGCUCCCCCUGGUCUCUUGCAUCUGUGCGAUAGUAAAUCUGAUCUGUACCUCUGCAUUAGAGGAGUCCACUUCUCCCUACAUGUAUUCAACGGAUCAGAAUAUAC
ensembl:snoRNA